AUUACCAUCUUACUGGGCAGCAUUGGAUGUUUUCAGUGUUUCUAAUACUGCCUGGUAAUGAUGAUGAU
rnacentral:pre_miRNA from 1 species